GCGAGGUGACGAUAGAAAUUCAUUGGUCUGUCAAUCCACUGAAUAAACAUAACUUUGAUGUUACUAUGAAUCCCGACAGGUUCUGAUCGC
rnacentral:snoRNA from 9 species